UACGUAGGGCGCAAGCGUUUGUCCGGAAUUAUUGGGCGUAAAGAGCUCGUAGGCGGCUUGUCACGUCGGGGUGUGAAAGCCCGGGGCUUAACCCCGGGUCUGCAUUCGAUACGGGCAGGCUAGAGUGUGGUAGGGGAGAUCGGAAUUCCUGGUGUAGCGGUGAAAUGCGUAGAUAUCGGGAGGAACACCUGUGGCGAAGGCGGCCCCCUGGUUGGAUACUGACGCUGAGACGCGAAAGCGUGGGGAGCAAACAGG
rnacentral:rRNA from 1 species